AGGCGGUCGACUUAUCGCGUUAGCUGCGCCACUAAGAUCUCAAGGAUCCCAACGGCUAGUCGACAUCGUUUACGGCGUGGACUACCAGGGUAUCUAAUCCUGUUUGCUCCCCACGCUUUCGCACCUCAGUGUCAGUAUCAGUCCAGGUGGUCGCCUUCGCCACUGGUGUUCCUUCCUAUAUCUACGCAUUUCACCGCUACACAGGAAAUUCCACCACCCUCUACCGUACUCUAGCUCAGUAGUUUUGGAUGCAGUUCCCAGGUUGAGCCCGGGGAUUUCACAUCCAACUUGCUGAACCACCUACGCGCGCUUUACGCCCAGUAAUUCCGAUUAACGCUUGCACCCUUCGUAUUACCGCGGCUGCUGGCACGAAGUUAGCCGGUGCUUAUUCUGUUGGUAACGUCAAAACAGCAAGGUAUUAACUUACUGCCCUUCCUCCCAACUUAAAGUGCUUUACAAUCCGAAGACCUUCUUCACACACGCGGCAUGGCUGGAUCAGGCUUUCGCCCAUUGUCCAAUAUUCCCCACUGCUGCCUCCCGUAGGAGUCUGGACCGUGUCUCAGUUCCAGUGUGACUGAUCAUCCUCUCAGACCAGUUACUGAUCGUCGCCUUGGUAGGCCUUUACCCCACCAACUAGCUAAUCCGACCUAGGCUCAUCUGAUAGCGUGAGGUCCGAAGAUCCCCCACUUUCUCCCUCAGGACGUAUGCGGUAUUAGCGCCCGUUUCCGGACGUUAUCCCCCACUACCAGGCAGAUUCCUAGGCAUUACUCACCCGUCCGCCGCUGAAUCCAGGAGCAAGCUCCCUUCAUCCGCUCGACUUGCAUGUGUUAGGCCUGCCGCCAGCGUUCAAUCUGAGCCAGGAUCAAACUCUU
rnacentral:rRNA from 1 species